GCAGGGGACUCAUCAACCAAAAUGGUGGCGCCGGAGGGCGACCUUCGGAUGCGAACCGGGUGAAUUGCGGGAAACCUAAACCUCUGUUUUGAGGCACGGCGAUCCGCAGCCAAGCCUGGCCGGGCUUUGGUGGCCAGGAAGGUUCAGAGACUAGCGGGGUGAGUCCCAACGAUAAUCCCCGCCUCGAGCGCCCGGCCUCCCUCGAAUGCUUCGAGGCGGUCACGUCAAGCGGUCCGUCAACGACCGCCACGCAACCGUUUCGAUCGUCGCAGGCGAGGAUGAGAUAGUCCAAGCCCCGUGGAAACGCGGGG
rnacentral:ncRNA from 1 species